rnacentral:rRNA from 1 species
ACAUGAUUACAACACAACUUUAAUGCAUUAGAUCUCAUUAGAACUCUGCAGUUAAGCGUCCUUGGGAUAGAGUAGUAUUGAGAUGGGUGAUUGCCCAGGAAUUCCUAGUAUUUUACAUGCC